rnacentral:rRNA from 1 species
UCAAGUAGAGAAGGGCGCACGGUGAAUGCCUAGGCACUGGAAGCCGAUGAAGGACGUGACAAACGACGAAAUGCUUCGGGGAGCGGUAAGUACGCAGAGAUCCGGAGAUAUCCGAAUGGGGGAACCCGGCACCGCGAGGUGUCACCUUGAAUGUGAAUAGAUAGCAUUAAGGAGGAAGACGCAGUGAACUGAAACAUCUAAGUAGCUGCAGGAAGAGAAAGAAAGAUCGAUUUCCCAAGUAGCGGCGAGCGAACAGGAAAGAGCCCAAACCUAAUGGCUUGCCAUUAGGGGUAGAAGGACUGUAAAAAGCCGAAUGGAAGGAUAGCAGAAUUAUCUGGGAAGAUAAGCCAAAGAGGGUGAGAGCCCCGUAAGCGAAAUCCGGAAAGUAGGUGAGCAGGAUCCUGAGUAGGUCGGGACACGAGGAAUCCCGAUUGAAUCCGCGAGGACCAUCUCGCAAGGCUAAAUACUAACCAGUGACCGAUAGUGAACCAGUACCGUGAGGGAAAGGUGAAAAGAACCCCGGGAGGGGAGUGAAAGAGAACCUGAAACCGUGUGCCUACAAGUAGUCAGAGCACGUUAAAGUGUGAUGGCGUGCCUUUUGUAGAAUGAACCGGCGAGUUGCGUUGUGGUGCAAGGUUAAGUCAGAAAAGACGGAGCCGAAGCGAAAGCGAGUCUGAAGAGGGCGAGAUAGUAUCAUGACGCAGACCCGAAACCAAGUGACCUACCCAUGACCAGGUUGAAGGCGUGGUAAAACACGCUGGAGGACCGAACCCACGCAAGUUGAAAAUUGCGGGGAUGAGUUGUGGGUAGCGGUGAAAUUCCAAACGAACUUGGAGAUAGCUGGUUCUCUCCGAAAUAGCUUUAGGGCUAGCCUCGUGUGAAUGAUAAUGGAGGUAGAGCACUGUUUGGACUAGGGGCCCGUCAGGGGUUACUGAAUCCAGAUAAACUCCGAAUGCCAGAUAUCAAUGCACGGGAGUCAGACUGCGAGUGAUAAGAUCCGUAGUCGAAAGGGAAACAGCCCAGAUCACCGGUUAAGGUCCCAAAAUCUAUGCUAAGUGGAAAAGGAUGUGGAGUUGCACAGACAACUAGGAUGUUGGCUCAGAAGCAGCCACCAUUUAAAGAGUGCGUAAUAGCUCACUAGUCGAGUGACGCUGCGCCGAAAAUUUACCGGGGCUAAGCAUAGUACCGAAACCGUGGAUGCAGGUAACUGCGUGGUAGGAGAGCGUUCUAAAGGCGGAGAAGGCAGAUCGAGAGGACUGUUGGAGCGUUUAGAAGUGAGAAUGCCGGUAUAAGUAGCGAAAGACAGGUGAGAAUCCUGUCCGCCGAAAGACUAAGGUUUCCUGGGGCAGGCUCGUCCGCCCAGGGUAAGUCGGGACCUAAGGUAAGGCCGAGAGGCGUAGCCGAUGGACAACAGGUAGAUAUUCCUGUACUAUUCGUAAUCGAUAAGAGCGAAGGAGGGACGCAGGAGGCUAAUGACGCAUGGAGAUGGAAUCAUGUGUAAGCGUUAAGGGAGGAUACGAGUCAAAUGCUUGUAGCCAAUUUUGAGACGUGAUGCGGAGUGAAAUCAAAGUAGCGAAGGUCAUGAAGUCACACUGCCAAGAAAAGCUUCUAGCCAGAGAGCGAGUACCCGUACCGCAAACCGACACAGGUAGUCGAGGAGAGAAUCCUCAGGUGAGCGAGAGAACUCUCGUUAAGGAACUCGGCAAAAUAACCCCGUAACUUAGGGAGAAGGGGUGCUGAAGAGAAAUCAGCCGCAGUGAAGAGGCCCAAACAACUGUUUAUCAAAAACACAGGUAUCUGCAAAAUCGUAAGAUGACGUAUAGGUACUGACACCUGCCCGGUGCUGGAAGGUUAAGAGGAUAGCUUAGCGAAAGCGAAGGUUAGAAUUGAAGCCCCAGUAAACGGCGGCCGUAACUAUAACGGUCCUAAGGUAGCGAAAUUCCUUGUCGGGUAAGUUCCGACCUGCACGAAAGGUGUAAUGAUUUGGGCACUGUCUCAACGAGAGACUCGGUGAAAUUAUAAUACCCGUGAAGAUGCGGGUUACCCGCGACAGGACGGAAAGACCCCAUGGAGCUUUACUGUAGCUUGAUAUUGAGUAUUUGUUAAACAUGUACAGGAUAGGUAGGAGCCAGAGAA